GUAUUUGGUCGUAGACCCGAAACCAGGUGAUCUACCCUUGGUCAGGUUGAAGUUCAGGUAACACUGAAUGGAGGACCGAACCGACUUACGUUGAAAAGUGAGCGGAUGAACUGAGGGUAGCGGAGAAAUUCCAAUCGAACUUGGAGAUAGCUGGUUCUCUCCGAAAUAGCUUUAGGGCUAGCCUCAAGUGAUGAUUAUUGGAGGUAGAGCACUGUUUGGACGAGGGGCCCCUCUCGGGUUACCGAAUUCAGACAAACUCCGAAUGCCAAAUAAUUUAACUUGGGAGUCAGAAUGUGGGUGAUAAGGUCCAUAUUCGAAAGGGAAACAGCCCAGACCACCAGCUAAGGUCCCAAAAUAUAUGUUAAGUGGAAAAGGAUGUGGCGUUGCCCAGACAACUAGGAUGUUGGCUUAGAAGCAGCCAUCAUUUAAAGAGUGCGUAAUAGCUCACUAGUCGAGUGACACUGCGCCGAAAAUGUACCGGGGCUAAACAUAU
rnacentral:rRNA from 1 species